rnacentral:lncRNA from 1 species
UAGCCAGCACGCCGCAAUAGGAAAAAUUUGUAGGAGAGGGUCACUUUAGUGAGGAUAAGCUCCAGUCUUGUCCCCCUUCAAACUGUCUGUUGUGGCAACCCUUUCCGCCUAGUGUUUUCGGGGAAGAGGACAAGGGAUAGUAUCAGAGAGGACGGACUGCCACCAUAGAGAGGGGAACCAAGCAAGAACACACAAUUUUACUCCCCUCCAUCCUAGAGUGAUAAAAAUAAGCACG